GCUUAUUUAGUUUAAUUAAAAAUGUUAAUUUGUGGUAUUAAAGAUUAUGGUUAUAUUUAAGCA
rnacentral:tRNA from 1 species